GUCAUAUAUAAUUGUGAUCUGGAUCUGUUUUUAGUACCUCUAGACUUCCUGAGAAGAAAUAUCUGAUAUAGGUGUUCGUCUGUCACUGAGACUGGUGUAGACUUCUUACCUAGACUGGUCCUGUCUGAGGGAUAGUUUUGUAUUAGUGAAACAAUUUUUAAAUAAAAGUACUCAUAAGCUUUCUUGACUCUUCGCUUUGAGAAACCAUAACUUUGCACCAAUGUCCCUGGUGAAGUAUCAGCAGUGUCCCGAGUUUAGCGUGAUGUCACGUUGAUUUGUACUUAGUGGUGAAGAGACUAAGACAAGGCAUGCUGUUUUGGCCUGAGUGUUUAGAUUCUGCAGAUUGAUGUUUUGUAUCAGCACUAGGCCAUUAGAUAGAUACAAGCGAAAGACCCUCAAUUAUGGACAUGAUGAAAAACUGUGUUAAUAAAAUCUUUUUACUUGUUUUACAUCCUGGAUGAAAGAAACACAAUGCCAUAAUAUUAAAUUGCUUGCCUUGACCACUAAAGUUGAUGGGGCUGCCUAUUUAUAUAGGCAGGAGCAGCCUAUUACAAGGGGGAUUCUACUCGGUUACAACUUUCCAAAUUCCCAACCGACUUCAAUUCUAAAUGAUCUGGACACAUGCAAUCCUGUUUUGUUUUAUCUUUAAUCUCUAAUCAAAGUCGGUUUCUAAUCUAGCCAAGACGAUUCUGGACAACCAAGUCCAUAGCGUAUUUAUAACAUAUUCUAACAUCCCCCUCAAUCAUGACUUGCACAAGUUAAAUUGUUUCUAAGUGAAGCCAACUUUUGCAUAGUCAGUGCCUUAGUAAAACCAUCUGCAUCUUGGUUCUUUUGUAGAUAUAGUUUUUACCUCCAAAAGUCCUUAAACUACUCUUUCUCCCAUAAAAUGAAAACCAAUCUCAACAUGUUUCAUACGGCCAUGAAACCUGGAUUUGUUGUAAGAUUGGUAGCUCCAAUGUUACACACUGGAUCCUUGUGACAGGAGGACAAGGACCCUUUUGGUUCCUAUAGAAUACUGGAUCCACAUCAACUCUGCUUUGGAAUUAGCUAUGGCUUUAUAUUUAGCUUCAGUGAUUGACCGGGAGGCCGAAGACUAUGGGCUGCUUGCGAGCACUCUAAGAUACUAGAUCUCUACCAAGAUAUACUACAAAGCCUCUUGUUGAGCGUCUAUCGGGCCUGUUUGGUUCAGCUUUUAUCUGACCAACUUUUCUAGAAAUCUGGCUGUGGGGAGAAUCUGGCUGUGGGGGGAAUCUGAGUAUCAUUACGAUUACGUGUGGAGGAAUAUAAAGUUGUUCAUAGGGCUCAGGAUCUAGAAAGUGACGGAUUCCUACUAUUACAACGACUCAACCGAUUAUGUGUUUAUGUUGAUUUUGUAUGAUUUUUGCCCCCAACGAAUUUUAUAUAAGCUGGCUGGAAAGCUGAGCGUUUGGCAGUCCGCAGUAGCUUUUGGUGGUCAGAAGCUGCUAGAAGCCGAAACAAACAGGGCCAUCAUCUAUGUCACUUGGCCAAUUUGCAUCAGAGAAGGCACUCACAAUAAUGGAGGGAUACUUCACAAUUUUAAGACCAUGUCCAAGAGUGAACCUUUUCUCGAAAAGCGCAGGAGAACUGCGCCCCGUUAUAUUAAGAAGGAAAAGGUCUGAAAAAAACAGACCAGGUACAAAGACUCCCUUACGGAGGUCUAAAACUCAGAAACCUAAGAAGAUCCAUCUAAACAACCUAAAAAAAACACUAUGAGCCAAUCCCCGGGAUUGAGGCAGUAAGGAGGGCCAAACUCUUGGCACCAGCCAGCUCCCACAUCUCUCUUUCUUCCUCCGCUAUUCUGAUGGCUGUUUCCAAGUUAGGAGAAAGACCAUCAAAUACACAUCAAUUUCUGUGGUUCCAAAUUGUCCAAAGCCCCAGGAUAAUUAAUGAGUUGAGAUCUUUUCUAGCAAUCUGUUGCAGCUGGUCACUGCAGCUUUUCCACCACUGCAUGACAUUUUCUUCUCCAACCUGAGGAGUAAAACUUUGGAGGUUGACCUGUCCAAGCAGCAUAAACCAGAAGUUCCUCGCAAAGACACACCCUACAAGUAGAUGAUCUAUAGUCUCAGGCUCUUGGUCACAAAGGGGGCAUCUCUCAGGAUGAUUGGGACCUCUUUUUUGUAGCCUGUCAGCUGUCCAGCACCUUUUCAAGGCAGCUAACAAAAGAAAAAAAUUGCAUUCAGGAGGCGCCCAGGAAUGCCAAAUUCGCUCCCAGUGAUCAAAAUGAGUGGAUCCAAUAAAUAGUCCAUUAUAGUCUGCUUUGGCAGAAUAUUUUCCAUCAGAUGCAAUACUGAAAAUGUGCUUAUCAUUACACCCUGGGUAAAUAUUGACUGAAAGCAAGUUUUCUGAUAGGUCAAGAAAAUCUGCAAGCACCCUGACAGUAAGCGCACCCUUAAUAUCAGCUAUCCAUUUGUUAUCUGCAAGAGCGUCCUGAACAGUUCUGCACUUUCUGUAUUGCUUGGGAACAGCCACAAGCAAUCUAGGAGCAAAGUAUUCUAUUCUUUUUCCAAAAAUCCAAUGGUCUUGCCAAAACAAGGUUGAAGCACCAUCUCCAAUUUCAGUAUAUGUUACAGCUGAAAAGAAGGAUCUAACCUUUUCAGAGAGGUGUAUAUGUAGGAAUGCCCAUGGCUUAGAAGGUUCAGUUUUGGCCAACCACAACCAUCGCAUUUUAAGGGCCCAACCCAAUUGUUUUAGGCUGAAAAUACCCAGCCCUCCCAACUCAAUUGGUCUACAAACCCUUCCCCACGCCACUAAACAGUGACCACCUCUAACCUCUCUUCUUCCUUUCCAUAGGAAUCCUUUCUGAUUUUAUCUAUAGCCUUGAGAGCUCCUGGAGGCAAAUCAACAGCCAUGGCGAGGUAAUUGAUCAGCAACUUCGUCAAUAAUGGGCUGCACUUGCCCUCUGGUUAGCUUCUUUAGUGACAGGGGCAAGCCGAGAUAAGUGCAAGGGAAGGAAGAAACCUGGCAAGGCAGCUGCUGCUGCAGGACUUCCAUCUCCCCAACGCCGCGACGGAUGGGAUAAACACAGCUUUUCUGCACAUUAGUUUGCAGCCCCGAAGCUUCCCCAAAAAGCUUCAAAAUGUUGAGAACAACUUGAAUGUUUUGAUCUUUUGGCUGUAAAAACAAUACCACAUCGUCUGCAGAGGGAUAGCCUAUGUUG